CGCCGCGGUUAUACGAGCGACCCAAAUUAAUAAAAAAACGGCGUAAAGAGUGCAUAAGGAAGACCUUCUACCAUUAAAACUGAAGUAGUGCUUAACUGUUAUACGUACUCGCACCCAUGAAAAACAAUUACGAAAGUAAUUUUAUAAAAAAUAGACCUCUUAAAACACGAUAGCUAAAGA
rnacentral:rRNA from 1 species